UCCUUUCCCGUGGCAUAGAUGAUUAUAGCGUCCGCCUCGGACGUGGGAGGUCGCGGGUUCGAUCCCCGGCCGAGGCACACGAA